GCCCGCUUGGCUCAGCGGUAGAGCGCCUCACUAGUACGAAACAGUAACUGGAAUAUGAGGAGGCGACUGGUUCGACUCCAGUAGUGGGCA